rnacentral:rRNA from 1 species
AGCGAACGCUGGCGGCAGGCUUAACACAUGCAAGUCGAACGAACCCUUCGGGGUUAGUGGCGGACGGGUGAGUAACACGUGGGAACGUGCCCUUAGGUUCGGAACAACACAGGGAAACUUGUGCUAAUACCGGAUAAGCCCUUCGGGGAAAGGACUUAUCGCCUUUGGAGCGGCCCGCGUCUGAUUAGCUAGUUGGUGAG